UAUAGGAUAAUUUUUGUUGCAAGUUACUUUACAAGGGUACCUUAAUUUGUUAAUAAAAAUAAAAAUAAAAUCAAGGCCGGCUUCACUCCGCUGGUCUGAAUCACACAAAAGCCCACUAAAGGUUCACAAGGAGUGUAUCUGGCAUGAGGCAAAUCCUGCGUUCUGAUUGGUUGUUCCAACCCUCCCACGGAUCGCAGGCAGCCACCGUCCGAUCCUCCCGUAUCCAACGGCAGCGAAACCUCCCCUCUUUCUUGUGUUUCCUUCGAUCCACCCACGAGACGACCACUUUUCUUCCACCUGGGAGGAAGUGGAUCUCAGUCGGCCUCUUCCAGAUCCUCCAAACCUCCGCCCUCCCCAUCCAUGGCCGCUGCCACUGCACCAAGAAAAAGGCCGGCAGCCACCGCAACCUCGCCGUCCAUGGCCAUCUUCCUCUCUGCAUCCCGCAUCGGCCGCGUUAGCUGCCGCUGCAACCUCUUUAUCCACGACCAUCUUCCCCUUUGCAUCCCGCAACGGCCGUCUGCCUCGGCGACGUUAGCCUCGUCUCGCAGCCGAGGACGCCGCUGAAGGCGGACCUAGUGCUCGCGGCGCCGGUGCCGUUGCUGCGGAUGGUGCCCAUCUUGCUGCACGGAGCGACAAGGUCCCUCGUGGGCGUGCACAAGCUGGAUGGGCUGGGCGUGAUGACUAUGGGCGCGCUCAAGGUCCCGCUUCAGCCUCCACCUGACGACGCGCCUGGUGGAGUUCCACCGCAUCGGACCGGCGGGAUCCUUGGCAGGCUGUGAGCCGUAGUCCCACCAGGCCACCAGGCUCUAUGGAGUCUUCGUCGGUGGAGACAGAGUGCCUUCCAGGAGCAUGGUUCGAGGCAAGAUGGUUGCAAAAAUGGGGUCUCUCUCCGAUGACUUUGGCGAGCACGGCCGAAUUGGUGGCCAUAUAGACACUGGAAUUAACCAAAGUUAACAUAUGGCGAGCGCCCCGGCGCCUGAGGAGCUGUAGAUUAGCUUAGUUUUCUCCACGAGAUGUUCGUAAUUUUAAGUUUUUCGGGAUUUUUUGCUCCUGUAGAUGUGUAUUUUCCGGUUUGUUUAUGUAACCUUUGUUUAAUUUAAUGAAAUGAGCAUGUAUUUUUUCUGACAA